rnacentral:rRNA from 1 species
AGUGAACGCUGGCGGUAGGCCUAACACAUGCAAGUCGAACGGCAGCACAGUAAGAGCUUGCUCUUACGGGUGGCGAGUGGCGGACGGGUGAGGAAUACAUCGGAAUCUACUUUUUCGUGGGGGAUAACGUAGGGAAACUUACGCUAAUACCGCAUACGACCUACGGGUGAAAGCAUGGGAUCUUCGGACCUUGCGCGAUUGAAUGAGCCGAUGUCGGAUUAGCUAGUUGGCGGGGUAAAGGCCCACCAAGGCGACGACCCGUAGCUGGUCUGAGAGGAUGAGCAGCCACACUGGAACUGAGACACGGUCCAGACUCCUAAGGGAGGCAGCAGUGGGUAAUAUUGGACAAUGGGCGCAAGCCUGAUCCAGCCAUACCGCGUGGGUGAAGAAGGCCUUCGGGUUGUAAAGCCCUUUUGUUGGGAAAGAAAAGCAGCAGGUUAAUACCCCGCUGUUCUGACGGUACCCAAAGAAUAAGCACCGGCUAACUUCGUG